rnacentral:rRNA from 1 species
GAUGAACGCUGGCGGUGUGCCUAACACAUGCAAGUCGAGCGAACGCACGAUAAGAUCGUUUUCUUGAUGUUAGCGGCGGACGGGCGAGUAACACGUGGAUAACCUUCUAAUAUUUCUGGGAUAAUUUCGGGAAAACGGUGCCACUAAUGGCUAAUACUUUCUACGGGUUGGAUCAAAAGUGAUAGACGGUCUUGGUGUUUCUAUUAGAUGGUUCCGCGCUGCAUUAGCUAGUUGGUAAGGUAACGGCUUACCAAGGCAACGAUGCAUAGCCGACCUGAGAGGGUGAUCGGCCACACUGGAACUGAGACACGGUCCAGACUCCUACGGGAGGCAGCAGUAGGGAAUCUUCCACAAUGGGCGAAAGCCUGACGGAGCAACGCCGCGUGGGUGAUGAAGGUCUUCGGGUCGUAAAACUCUGUUAUUAGGGAAGAACAGAUGUGUGAGUAACUGUGCACAUCUUGACGGUACCUAAACAGAAAGCCACGGCUAACUACGUG